rnacentral:lncRNA from 1 species
CCUCACCCCGAAGCGGGAAGCAGCUUUCUCUUCCCAGCUUCCAUCCAGUCUCUGAGUAGACCAGUCGCAGCUUAGAUGCUGGGAUCGCCUCAGAACACAUUUCUUUGCCCUUCACGGCCACUACCGGUAUUGGGGUAUUCGAGUCUUAGGGCCGUUCGUUGCUCACAGGUCGAGCUGGUCUGGACUCUGUUCGACCACGAAUCAUGACUCCUUCCUGCCAGUUAUGUCCCCUCCGCACCCUUGCCCAGCCAUUUUACCAGGCCUCUCCACAUUGCGCUGCCCCACGGACCUUAUCAAGCUUGAAGAUCUUUAAAAAGAAAAGUAAUGCAAGAGAACAAAAAAGAUUGUCAGUGAAAGAUAUAUAAUUGCAUUAAGAUGUGGCCCUAAUCUUUCCACAGUCAAGUGUGUACUACUAUUUCACAGCAUUUUCCUUUCCAAACUGUGUGCCAAA